AGGCAUCGUGGCGGUGGUGGUGGCAGGAGCCACGAUGGGCUCCUGGUUCCUCUUGAAGAUGUUUCUCAUGGUGGCAGAGGGGACAGCUGAGGGUGAGAGGAAGAGAGCAAGCGCAAAGGUGCGGAGUCCACAGUGUGCAGAGACAAUGGCCCUCAGCAAUGCAUGCUCAGGGCUGUGACAGGGACCUACUGCAUGUGAGCUGCCAAUCCAAACUACGAUCUGAGGUGAGGGUUUUUAGUUGUGUUUUGGGUUUGUUUUUUACAUGCUUCUCACUUAACAGCUGGGGAAACAGACUCAAAGAGCUAAACAAUCCUGAGGUCACUCGAGCCUGACAGACCGGCCUGGCUCCAAAGCCUAGAGACCGCUUUCCUGUGUCAUACACAUCUAGGAAUGUGGGGAUUUGCAUCUAACCUCCACAGCUCUCGGAAGGAGCAGGACUCUGUGCUCCCUGACUUCACAGAAUGGCCCGGCCUGCACUCUGCCUGUCUCCACGACACAAGGACACCGGGAGCCUUGGCUGCCUGUACUGGCCUCCAGCACUUGCUCAGAGUCUGUUCCUACGUUUUCAGAUCCAUUUCUCUAGCCCUGUGCCUCCCAGCAGCCCUAGAGCAAAGAGGUGGCAUCCCCAGGAGAUAGGAGGACAGAAAGACAGAGGCAGAGACGUUGGGGGGGGGGCACACGAUCCCACCAACCAGAGAACAAAGGCACUUGGCACACCUCAGACCAGCAUUCAUUCUGUCUCAUGUCUAGACUAUACCGUGCAUAAGUUGGCACUCUGCUUAUACUUUUCCUUUACAUUUUGUCUUCAUCACUAAGUGGCUAAAAUGCAUCCCACCGUACAUAGUAGUACUGUGAUCUUUUUAUCCCAUUAGUAAUAGAGUGUCCACUGCUAUGUCUCUGGGGUAUAAAUAAAUGGUAGUCCUUGCUUAGCAUGUGCUUGCCUAGGUUCUGAACCCAGCACUACACAUACUCAUACAUGUGUAUGUAUAGUAAAUAUGUAUGUAUAAUUAGAUAUACACAUGCAUAUAUUGCUAUAUAUACUAUGCAUAUAUUAUAACUAUAACUACAUACCUAUACAUAUACAUCGAUAACAAGAUGAGCAUAAACUGUGGUCUUCAUUUAAAGCUGUUCUCACAAGCUCCCAAACUCUAUCCUGCCCUCCAUGCCCUCUCUCACACUGCUCGGCUGCUCAAAGGGGUCUGAGCCUCUUCAACUCACAGGGGCAGGGGCUGUGCUGUGCUGACAUUAGCUGCUCCUGUGUCACACGCACACAUUUCUAAGAUACACUUUCUUGAUAUCUGGCUUGCUUGCCUUUGAGACAGGAUCUGACUAUACAGUAUAGGGCUGGUCUUGAACUUACGAUCCUGAUGUCUCAGUCUCCCAGGGGCUGGAGUUAUAGGUGUUCAUUGGCACGUCUGCUUGUGACCUCUUUCCUUUAGUGUGUUAAGUUUCUUCCAUGCAGCCUGUAUUCAUUCUGUGUGAUGGGUUGGUGGGUGGGUUUUUUUGAGGCAGGGUUUCUCUGUGUGGCCCUGGCUAACCUAGAACUCACUCUGUAGACCAGGCUGGCCUCAAACUCACAGAGAUCCGCCUGCCUCUCCCUCCCGAGUGCUGGGAUUAAAGGUGUGUGCCAACACCACCUGGCCUGUAUCAGUUCUUAAUUGCUACUUACAAAUAACAAUUAUAUUCCUCUACAUAAAUAACACAUUUUUACUUAUCCAGUCAUCAAUUUAUGGACAUUUGGGUUAUUUCUGCUUUGGGGCUAUAAUUAUGAAUUAUUAUGAAUAUCUACAUAUGUUUUUGCUUAUCUUGGCUAUAGUUACGAGGGAAAUGUCACUAGAUCACAAGCUUUCCCUUGUUGCUGUGUUCGUGAGGCUGGAAAGGUGCCUCACUGUGGUUCUGACCUGCAUUUCUCUACCGUCUGAUGCGCUGGGCAGUGUCCACCACUCAUCAGCCAUUUGGUUAUUUUCUUUAGGUAAAUGAGUAUUCAAAUCCUUGACUAAUUAAAACAUUAGUAUAUUUUAUGGGGGUGCACGUGUGCCACAGUGUGGAAAUCAGAGGACAGCUUGAUUCUCUCCUUUCUCUGGGAAAGACUCUGGUUGCAGAGUCACCCAGAUGGAACACAGGUUGUCACACCUGGUGGCAAUCCCCUUUACCCGCGGAGCCAUCUUGCCAGCCCCUUUGCCACCUUUAAAUUGAAUGUCUGUCUUUUUGUUGUUGAAUUAUAUCAUUUACAUAUUCCGGAUUGUAGCUUCUUACUGGAGAGGGAGCUCUAGUCGGUCAGGUUGCAUUCCCUGCCCAGACUGCUACAAGAGCCAGUGGCAAUGUCUCCGCUCCACAGAGGACUGGGGAGUGUCCAAAAAAUCAUUUAUAAAACAAUUCUUUAACCUUAGAGCUACUUUUUAUGAUGUCCUUUAAAACAUAAAUGUUUUUAAUUUUGA